rnacentral:rRNA from 1 species
CUCGUAGGCGGCCAACUCAGUCGGAUGUGAAAUCCCCAGGCUUAACCUGGGAACUGCAUCCGAUACUGGUUGGCUUGAAAUCGGGAGAGGGGUGCAGAAUUCCAGGUGUAGCGGUGAAAUGCGUAGAUAUCUGGAGGAAUACCGGUGGCGAAGGCGGCAUCCUGGACCGACAUUGACGCUGAGGAGAGAAAGCGUAGGGGGAGACAAACA